GCCUGGGUGGCUCAGUCGGUUAAGUGUCCAACUUUCGCUUGGGUCAUGAUCUCACAGCUUGUGAGUUCGAGCCCCACAUCAGGCU
rnacentral:tRNA from 1 species